AUCAAAACUAAGAAGCGUUUAGCCUGUCGAUUAACUUGGAUUCUGAAUUUUUCCGUACGCUGCCUUCGUAGCCCGGUAGAUCGAAGCUUGGUGAUUUCACAACCGGUGCAUGUCGACCGGCCGGCUAGAAGUCAGUCCGAAAUCGACCAAUUUUUUUGGUGUGCCGAAGAUUUCUUUAAAUAUUAUUUUCGAAUGGUUUUUCGUUUUCACUUGAAGUAAAGCGAGAUAUGGGUGCGAUAACUCGCGGCGCGUUCAUCGUUAUCGAGGGAGUAGAUCGAUCGGGAGUACGAGCACGGGCAAAAUCAUAAGCCAAUAUUUAACCGACCCGACCACGAAAUUAAACGACCACGCGAUCCACCUGUUGUUCGCGGCCAACCGUUGGGAAAACGCGGAAAAGCUGCAGUCUUUGCUUGGUCGGGGGA